rnacentral:rRNA from 1 species
UACGGAGGGUGCGAGCGUUGUCCGGAAUCAUUGGGCGUAAAGGGCGCGUAGGUGGCCCGGUCAGUUCGUGGUGAAAGCGCGGGGCUCAACCCUGCGUCGGCCAUGAAUACUGCCGCGGCUGGAGCACUGUAGAGGCAGGCGGAAUUCCGGGUGUAGCGGUGAAAUGCGUAGAUAUCGGGAGGAACACCUGUGGUGUAGACGGCUAUCUGGACGGCGACUGACGCUGAGACACGAAAGCGUGGGUAGCAAACAGG